rfam:Clostridium sp. DL-VIII chromosome, whole genome shotgun sequence.
UUAACUGUGUUGAAAAAGAAGAGUAAAUAGUAUUUUAAAUUUAAGAGAUCUAGGGAGGGUGGAAGCCUAGAAUUUAGAGCUAUUGAAGGAAGCUUUGGAGUAAUAAAUAGAAAGCCACUUGGCGUAGUAUAUUUAUGGGGUUAUUCCCUUAAAGAUAAUUAAGUGGAUUAAAUUAAUUAAUUUAAUCAAUUUAGGUGGUAACGCGGAAGUUAAGCCUUUCGUCCUAGAA